rnacentral:rRNA from 1 species
GCCUGAAUCAGUGUGUGUGUUAGUGGAAGCGUCUGGAAAGGCGCGCGAUACAGGGUGACAGCCCCGUACACAAAAAUGCACAUACUGUGAGCUCGAUGAGUAGGGCGGGACACGUGGUAUCCUGUCUGAAUAUGGGGGGACCAUCCUCCAAGGCUAAAUACUCCUGACUGACCGAUAGUGAACCAGUACCGUGAGGGAAAGGCGAAAAGAACCCCGGCGAGGGGAGUGAAAAAGAACCUGAAACCGUGUACGUACAAGCAGUGGGAGCCUCUUUAUGGGGUGACUGCGUACCUUUUGUAUAAUGGGUCAGCGACUUAUAUUCUGUAGCAAGGUUAACCGAAUAGGGGAGCCGAAGGGAAACCGAGUCUUAACUGGGCGUUAAGUUGCAGGGUAUAGACCCGAAACCCGGUGAUCUAGCCAUGGGCAGGUUGAAGGUUGGGUAACACUAACUGGAGGACCGAACCGACUAAUGUUGAAAAAUUAGCGGAUGACUUGUGGCUGGGGGUGAAAGGCCAAUCAAACCGGGAGAUAGCUGGUUCUCCCCGAAAGCUAUUUAGGUAGCGCCUCGUGAAUUCAUCUCCGGGGGUAGAGCACUGUUUCGGCAAGGGGGUCAUCCCGACUUACCAACCCGAUGCAAACUGCGAAUACCGGAGAAUGUUAUCACGGGAGACACACGGCGGGUGCUAACGUCCGUCGUGAAGAGGGAAACAACCCAGACCGCCAGCUAAGGUCCCAAAGUCAUGGUUAAGUGGGAAACGAUGUGGGAAGGCCCAGACAGCCAGGAUGUUGGCUUAGAAGCAGCCAUCAUUUAAAGAAAGCGUAAUAGCUCACUGGUCGAGUCGGCCUGCGCGGAAGAUGUAACGGGGCUAAACCAUGCACCGAAGCUGCGGCAGCGACACUAUGUGUUGUUGGGUAGGGGAGCGUUCUGUAAGCCUGUGAAGGUGUACUGUGAGGUAUGCUGGAGGUAUCAGAAGUGCGAAUGCUGACAUAAGUAACGAUAAAGCGGGUGAAAAGCCCGCUCGCCGGAAGACCAAGGGUUCCUGUCCAACGUUAAUCGGGGCAGGGUGAGUCGACCCCUAAGGCGAGGCCGAAAGGCGUAGUCGAUGGGAAACAGGUUAAUAUUCCUGUACUUGGUGUUACUGCGAAGGGGGGACGGAGAAGGCUAUGUUGGCCGGGCGACGGUUGUCCCGGUUUAAGCGUGUAGGCUGGUUUUCCAGGCAAAUCCGGAAAAUCAAGGCUGAGGCGUGAUGACGAGGCACUACGGUGCUGAAGCAACAAAUGCCCUGCUUCCAGGAAAAGCCUCUAAGCAUCAGGUAACAUCAAAUCGUACCCCAAACCGACACAGGUGGUCAGGUAGAGAAUACCAAGGCGCUUGAGAGAACUCGGGUGAAGGAACUAGGCAAAAUGGUGCCGUAACUUCGGGAGAAGGCACGCUGAUAUGUAGGUGAAGCGACUUGCUCGUGGAGCUGAAAUCAGUCGAAGAUACCAGCUGGCUGCAACUGUUUAUUAAAAACACAGCACUGUGCAAACACGAAAGUGGACGUAUACGGUGUGACGCCUGCCCGGUGCCGGAAGGUUAAUUGAUGGGGUUAGCGGUAACGCGAAGCUCUUGAUCGAAGCCCCGGUAAACGGCGGCCGUAACUAUAACGGUCCUAAGGUAGCGAAAUUCCUUGUCGGGUAAGUUCCGACCUGCACGAAUGGCGUAAUGAUGGCCAGGCUGUCUCCACCCGAGACUCAGUGAAAUUGAACUCGCUGUGAAGAUGCAGUGUACCCGCGGCAAGACGGAAAGACCCCGUGAACCUUUACUAUAGCUUGACACUGAACAUUGAGCCUUGAUGUGUAGGAUAGGUGGGAGGCUUUGAAGUGUGGACGCCAGUCUGCAUGGAGCCGGCCUUGAAAUACCACCCUUUAAUGUUUGAUGUUCUAACGUUGGCCCCUGACCGGGGUUGCGGACAGUGUCUGGUGGGUAGUUUGACUGGGGCGGUCUCCUCCUAAAGAGUAACGGAGGAGCACGAAGGUUGGCUAAUCCUGGUCGGACAUCAGGAGGUUAGUGCAAUGGCAUAAGCCAGCUUGACUGCGAGCGUGACGGCGCGAGCAGGUGCGAAAGCAGGUCAUAGUGAUCCGGUGGUUCUGAAUGGAAGGGCCAUCGCUCAACGGAUAAAAGGUACUCCGGGGAUAACAGGCUGAUACCGCCCAAGAGUUCAUAUCGACGGCGGUGUUUGGCACCUCGAUGUCGGCUCAUCACAUCCUGGGGCUGAAGUAGGUCCCAAGGGUAUGGCUGUUCGCCAUUUAAAGUGGUACGCGAGCUGGGUUUAGAACGUCGUGAGACAGUUCGGUCCCUAUCUGCCGUGGGCGCUGGAGAACUGAGGGGGGCUGCUCCUAGUACGAGAGGACCGGAGUGGACGCAUCACUGGUGUUCGGGUUGUCAUGCCAAUGGCACUGCCCGGUAGCUAAAUGCGGAAGAGAUAAGUGCUGAAAGCAUCUAAGCACGAAACUUGCCCCGAGAUGAGUUCUCCCUGACUCCUUGA